rnacentral:rRNA from 1 species
UACAGAGGGGGCGAGCGUUAUUCGGAAUUAUUGGGCGUAAAGGGCGCGUAGGCGGCCUUUCAAGUGACGGGUGAAAUCCCUCGGCUUAACCGAGGAACUGCCUGUCAGACUGGAAGGCUUGAGACCGGGAGAGGUGAGUGGAAUUCCCAGUGUAGCGGUGAAAUGCGUAGAUAUUGGGAGGAACACCAGUGGCGAAGGCGGCUAUCUGGACGGUUUCUGACGCUAAGACGCGAAAGCGUGGGGAGCAAACAGG